GGUUCGAUGGCGUAGUUGGUUAUCGCAUCUGUCUAACAUCCUGAGUCAUGUGUCUCUUUUCACAGAAGGUCCCCGGUUCGAGCCCGGGUCGAAUCA